UGGAAAGACCCGAACGAAAUUUUUGGCCAACCCAAUACAUAUGAUUUAAGUAGCGCUAUGACAGUCCCAAUUAGACCAUACAAGCUUAAAGGAGGAGCUAAUGAGAACCAUGGGAAGUCCCAACUUAUUGUGAAUUCAAGAGAUUACUGAGAGCAAAAUUAUCUCAACAAUGGAGAACUCUUCUAAGAUGUUUACAAGGCCCGGACAGAAGAAUCAUCAAUAGGAAGGAAUCACCAAUUACAGGCACCAAAAGAAAGGAAGUACAUUGCAUCUCCUACAAGAAAUCAACUACCCCAGGAACUCAGCCAAUGAGAAACUCUCAUCACCCUGAAC